UGAAUACUCCCUCCGUUCCAAAUUACUCGUCGCAGAAAUUGAUGUAUCUAGAACUAAAAUACAUCUAGAUACAUCCAUACCCACGACAAAUAUUUCGGAACGGAGGGAGUACAUC
rfam:Triticum aestivum genome assembly, contig: Triticum_aestivum_CS42_TGACv1_scaffold_095927_2AL